UGGAGAAGUUGGAAUAGGAUGGAAGAGGCGCGGGCUGUGGGUGGCGGGAGGCUCUCUGGGGGGCGAGGUGGUGGUUUACAGCUGGGCUGCCAAGGAAUUUGGAAACUAACAGCAGCAUAAGGUCUGGAUGAUUCAUUGCUGCAGCGAAGCUUCUGGGGUUCAAAGAAGGAAGAUCUAGAGGACUGGAGACUGCAGAAAACCCUUCAAGGAGCAGCGUGCGGUUUGAAAAGCUAGCAAGCAGCGGAUGAGGAAACUGAGUCACAGAGAAAUUUAAAUCACCAGCAUAACGUAACAUAGCUGACUGACAUAGAAGAGCCAGUGUGACUGCAGUGUGUGUGCACUAAACUACCACUUCCUACUGUUUCUCUGAAAUAAUCAAGGCCAUGAUAUAUGGAGGCUUCAGAAAUGAAGACCAAAGACCCGGGGAAAAUAGUGUGUGUUUAUGCUGAGUCUGAAGAAAGAAAUGGAUAGUUGUGGAGAAACAUGAUUAGAGGAAAAGGGGUAUGAUCUGAUGGAAAUAAACUGGGAGAGAACUCAGGAAGACCUAUUUUUUCAGGUUCUUUUGUGUGUGUGUGCCUCUAUAUGAUUUUCCUUCAACCUCCUCCCCCACCAUUUCCCAGGUGUGGUGCAGAACAUCUGUCGCAUGAGGGUCUUAUGACCUAAUUUUAGAGGAGAUAGGUCAGAGAAUUAUUUUGUAGACAGUGCUCACACAGAAAGGCCAGAGAAGGUCAGAGUGACCUCUGGUGGCUGACGCUGGAGGAUCACCUGGACCCAGGAGAGUGAUAGCCAAGGUACCAUGUUUUGGGGUACUGUGUCCUGCACCCUGUCAUGCACUAGAUACGUGGCAGGCACUGUGCUGAGCACACUGUUGGAUUGUCUCACUUAAGCCCCAAAAUGGCCCUGCGAGACGACUAUUAUUAUUUUCCUUCUUUGACAAAUGGGGAAGUGUCCAGGCAUGGCUUAGCUGCGUUCUCCACCCAAGGACUCUCAAGGCUGCAUUCAAGGUGUUGGCUAGACUGUGGUCUCAUCUGGAACUUUGACUGGAAAAUGUGCUUCCAAAUUAAUUCAAGUUGUUGGCAGAAUUCAUUUCCUCAUGGGUAUAGGACCAAGGGUUCCAGCUUCUUGCUGGGUGUCAAUUGAAAGUGGAUCCUUUCCACGUGGGCUUUCCCAAGGUAUCAGUCGGGGUCCUCCAGAGAAACAGUAGGAUGCAAACAUACAAACACACCAAUACAUUUAUUCCAAGGAACUAGUGUAUGCAAUUAAUUGUAGGGGCCGGCAAGUCUGAAAUCCACAGGAGACUGGCAGGCUGGAAACUCUCAGGCAGGAGCUGAUGCUGGAGUCUUGCGGCAGAACUUCCUCUUCUCUUUCUCAGGGAAGCUUUAGUUUUGUGCUUUAGUCCUUUCAACUGAUUGGAUGAGGCCCAUCUCCAUUGUUGAGAAUAAUCUGUUUUAUUUGUUUUGUUUUUUUUUUUGAG